rnacentral:rRNA from 1 species
AGCGAACGCUGGCGGCAGGCCUAACACAUGCAAGUCGAACGAACUCUUCGGAGUUAGUGGCGGACGGGGGAGUAACACGUGGGAACGUGCCUUUUGGUUCGGAAUAACUCAGGGAAACUUGUGCUAAUACCGAAUGUGCCCUUCGGGGGAAAGAUUUAUCGCCAUUAGUGCGGCCCGCGUCUGAUUAGCUAGUUGGUGAGGAAACGGAUCACCAAGGCGACGAUCAGUAGCUGGUCUGAGAGGGAGACCCGGCACACUGGGAUUGAGACGCGGCCCAGAAGCCAUCGUGGGGAAGGAGUGGGGGACUGUGCCAAAGGGGCAGAGGGCAGGAGGACCCCCCCCGGGGUAAUAAACAUGUUUUAUGAAUUGAAAAAUUCUUUUACGGGGACCAAUAUGCACGUACCCUAGGAAAAAAGCCCGGCUAACUUCGGG